rnacentral:lncRNA from 1 species
AUCAAAGUGUCACCUACUAAGCCAGGAGGUGGUGGCACACGCCUCUAAUCUCAGUGCUCAUAAGGCAGAGGCAGGUAGGUCUUGUAGCACCGGGGAAAUGUUAGUGAGCCCCAAAAAACAGACAGGAGCCAAUCUGAUGCAACUCAUAGCAGGGUCUUUAUUCUGUUUGAGAUAGCUCAGGCCCACCCCACCACCCACCACACACACACACACACACACACACACAACACCGUUGCAUAGGACCGUUUUUGGUGGUAGGGAAGCCCUGAGUGUCUAUCGGGUCAAGGCUUUAUAGUAAGCAGCAGGCAGGGAGUACGUGUGCAAGCAUCUCAUUGGAAAGCUACUGUGGCCUUUAACAUAAUUGCCUGGUGCUGCGAGUCAUAUCAUAAACUUCAUUUCUGCUUCUCUCUGCAUUGGUGGUCGUUAGGCAGGGAGUGGGCUUGUAACCUGGGGGUACAGGUUUGCUGGGGGAAAAACCUGAAGAUGCUGAUCUUGUUGGGGAUUAGCCUAGAGACUGGGCCAGGCUCACGUUUUGUUGGGAUGCAACUUGGAAACUAAUGCUAGGAACCAGCCUGUUAGUUUACCUGAGUUUAAACUUAGAUCAAGUUCUCUAAAAUGGAGUCUGAACUUAAAAGAUUUGGUCUCUCAAUCUCUAAGUUGAAGGCCAGCCUAGUCCACAUAUAACAAGUGCCAGGACAACCAGGACUACCUAGAAAGACCCUGUUUCAAAAACACAAAGAAAUUUAAGUGGAUGCCCAAGCUAGUGGUGUCAUAAAGAACCCGGCACAGAAGUGCUAAUGUUUUUAUUCUUAAUUUCCUGAAGUAGCAUCUAAAGCCCCAAAUUGAGCAGAUUAAGUUUUAGACCUUGGCAGAUCUUUAAACUGAAGUGUUUUCAGAUUCUCCUGGUGGAGAAAAGGUGAUGAUGUCAUCAUGUAUGUUUGCAACACUGCAACGGAAUCCACAUGGGAAGUGGGCUUUUUCUGUGGCCACUGAGGAGUUCUAUCAGUAUUGUAUGGAUCUGGGGUUACCAUUGGACUUCAGGCCCCACAGGGCAUGUGCCCACCAAAACCCAGAAACUACAAUCUUGAUCUACAUUUCUUAAUGCUUAGUAUGACUUUUGUGCAAUUAUAUAAGUUCUGUUUGGACAAAAGGCUGUUACUUUUUAAUGAAAGCAAACCAUUCAAUGAAAAUGGAUACCUCAUUCCCAAAUAAGAGGAAUGCAUUUGUUACUGUCAUUUUUAAAAUAUACUAUAAAACAAUACAGA